CAUUUGAGUCAGUGGACUGGGAGAGGCAGACCCACCCUUAGUCUGGGUGGGCAACAUCCCCUCGGCUGCCAGUACUGCUGAACAAUGCAGGCAAAAGAAGGUGGAGGAGCAGACUUGCUGAGUGUUCCAACCUUCAUCUUUCUCCCAUGCUGGAUGCUUUCUGCCCUCCAACACUGGACUCCGGGUUCUUCAGGUUUUGGACUCAGACUUACACCAGUGGCUUGCCAGGGGCUCUCAGGCCUUUGGCCAUAGACUGAAGGCUGCACUGUUGGCUUCCCUACUUUUAAGGUUUUGGGAAUCAGACUGGCUUCCUCACUCCUCAGCUUGCAGAUGGCCCACUGGGGACUUCACCUUGAUCAUGAUAUCACACUGGUCCAUCACAUUGAUGACAUUAUGCUGAUUGGACCCAGUGAGCAAGAAGUAGCAAACACACUGGACUUAUAUACUGAUCCGUGGACUAUAGUCAAUGGUUUGGCUGGAUGGUCAGGGACUUGGAAGAAGCAUAAUUGAAAAAUUAGUGACAAAGUAAUUUAGGGAAGAGGUAUUUGGAUGGAUCUCUCUGAGUGAUCAAAAACUGGGAAGAUAUUUGGAUCCCAUGUGAGUGCUCAUCAACGGGUGACCUCAGCAGAGGAGAAUUUUAAUAAUCAAGUGAAUAGGAUGACUAAUACAAAUGUCAUGUAAAAUUAAAAUUAGCAUUAAGUGCAAAAAGGGUAGCAAAACACAUCCAGACUGUUCCUCUUCCAUUCGCUGACAAAAACUUCAGAAAUACCAACUGUGGCUGGGUGCGGUGGCUCACAACUGUAAUCCCAACCUUUUGGGAGGCUGAGGCAGGCAGAUCACUUAAGAUCAGGAGUUUGAGACCAGCCUGGCCAACAUGAUGAAACCCUGUCUCUACUAAAAAUACAAAAAUUAGCCAGGUGUGGUGGUGGGCACCUGUAAUCCCAGCUACUCAGGAGGUGAAUGCCGGAGAAUCAUUCGAACCCAAAGGGCAGAGGUUGCAGUGAGCCGAGAUCAUGCCACUGCACUACAGCCUGGGUGACAGAGCAAGACUCCAUCUCAAAAAGAAAAAAAAAAAAGAAAUACCAGCUGUGAAUAAACAUGUAUUACAUAUUGGGUUUUUUGUUUGUUUAUAAUACCUAAAAUAUAUAAACACCUUUCCCUUCUGAGAAGAAAAGAUGAAAGCCUGUAUCUUUCCCAUUAUACACAUGUACCUACAAAUACAAAUAUAUGUGUAUUUUUUAGAA